CGCGUGGAAUGUGGUGUUUGGGAGAGCCUCCUCGCUGUGCGUUGACCGGUCCAAGUCCACCUUGACUGGGGCCCUGGCCCAUAGAGGGUGAUAGGCCCGUAAGACGGUCGACGCGCUGCGCUGGCUUUUCCCUAGAGUCGAGUUGCUUGGGAGUGCAGCUCAAAGUGCGUGGUAAACUCCACGUAAGGCUAAAUAUGACCCCGAGACCGAUAGCGAACAAGUACCGUGAGGGAAAGUUGAAAAGCACUUUGAAGAGAGAGUUAAAUAGUACGUGAAACUGUGUAGUGGUAAACGGAGGGGCUCUCGAAGUCGGCGCGGGAGAUUCAGGCUGACGGCCGGGCGGGUUGGGCGUGCGUGAUCCGCGAGGACUCCGCGUUUUUCUCGGCCCUGUCGGCGGCUGCACUUCUCUCGUGCUCCACGCGACGAACCGCUGCCUGCGGACCGUGGACCCGGGUGAAGUUUGUUGUUCUUCGGAGCGGCAAGCCCCGGGCUCUUGGCUCUGCGGGCGGCGGGUACAGGAGUGGUCUCGUAUA
rnacentral:rRNA from 1 species